rnacentral:rRNA from 1 species
UCCAGCAGCCAUAUCACUCUGCAACUCACCACUGGCAGCCCACUGAAGCUAAGCAGGUGUGAGCCUGGUCAGUACCUGGAUAAGAGACCUCCUGGGAAAACUAAGGUUCCUGCUGGAA